rnacentral:rRNA from 1 species
GACGAACGCUGGCGGCGUGCUUAACACAUGCAAGUCGAACGGAAAGGCCCUUCGGGGUACUCGAGUGGCGAACGGGUGAGUAACACGUGGGUGAUCUGCCCUGCACUUUGGGAUAAGCCUGGGAAACUGGGUCUAAUACCGAAUAGGACCACGCGCUUCAUGGUGUGUGGUGGAAAGCUUUUGCGGUGUGGGAUGGGCCCGCGGCCUAUCAGCUUGUUGGUGGGGUAAUGGCCUACCAAGGCGACGACGGGUAGCCGGCCUGAGAGGGUGACCGGCCACACUGGGACUGAGAUACGGCCCAGACUCCUACGGGAGGCAGCAGUGGGGAAUAUUGCACAAUGGGCGCAAGCCUGAUGCAGCGACGCCGCGUGAGGGAUGACGGCCUUCGGGUUGUAAACCUCUUUCAAUAGGGACGAAGCGCAAGUGACGGUACCUAUAGAAGAAGUACCGGCCAACUACGUG